GACGGAGGGCGCAAGCGUUGUUCGGAAUUACUGGGCGUAAAGCGCGGGCAGGUGGUCUGUUAAGUCGUUUGUGAAAAUCCGGGGCUCAACCCCGUGAAAUGCGUACGAUACUGGCAGGCUGGAGAUCGGUAGAGGCUAGCGGAAUUCCUGGUGUAGCGGGGGAAUGCGUAGAGAUCAGGAAGAACACCCGUGGCGAAGGCGGCUAGCUGUGCCGAGUCUGACUCUCAUCCGCGAAAGCGUGGGGAGCAAACAGG
rnacentral:rRNA from 1 species